rnacentral:rRNA from 1 species
AGCGGCCGCGGUAAUUCCAGCUCCAAUAGCGUAUAUUAAAGUUGUUGCAGUUAAAAAGCUCGUAGUUGAAUUUCGGGAUCAAUUUAUCGGUCGUGCCAAUGGUAUGAACUGGUACAAUUGGUUUCUCCCUUCUGACGAAGCAUGAUGUCAUUAAUUUGGUGUCGUGGGGAAUCAGGACUGUUACUUUAGAAAAAUUAGAGUGUUUAAAGCAAGCAUUAGCUUGAAUACAUUAGCAUGGAAUAAUGAAAUGGACGUUUGAUCCUAUUUCGUUGGUUUCUAGGAUCGACGUAAUGAUUAAUAGGGAUAGUUGGGGGCAUUAGUAUUCAAUUGUCAGA